AUUUAAUCCUUUUUAUCUGACAAAUACAAUAUCCAUUUAUAGUUUUUUAAAAAAAUGAAAAUCCUAUUUAUAAUACUGGGAAUUUUUGCGAUAUUUUCUUCCAUAGCAGCUCAAAAAAAACUAAGAUGCUGUAAUCAAAGUGAUUGUAAAAAUAAGUGCACGACAGAUGGAGCUUGCGCUACUGUAUAUAUCAAUUACAAGGGUGAAACCAAAUACAAAUGUAUACCAAAAAACUUAAUAAAAGCUGUGUGUUCGGGCAAAAACCAUGGAGAUGGAGAUGUAUAUGUUAAAUGUUGUAACAAAACCGAUUAUUGCAACAAAAAGCUCUAACUUCAUAAAUAUUUACAGGCAUAAAUUAUGUGAAUGUUUUUUUUCUCUAUAUAAAUUCCUUUAAAAAAAAUAGUUAUCGAGUAGUUAAUAUA